rnacentral:rRNA from 1 species
UACGUAGGGGGCAAGCGUUGUCCGGAAUCAUUGAGCGUAAAGAGCGUGUAGGCGGCCAGAUAAGUCCGCUGUGAAAUCUCGAGGCUCAACUUCGAGCUGUCGGUGGAAACUGUCUGGCUAGAGUCCGGAAGAGGAGAAUGGAAUUCCUGGUGUAGCGGUGAAAUGCGCAGAUAUCAGGAAGAACACCCGUGGCGAAGGCGGUUCUCUGGGACGGUACUGACGCUGAGACGCGAAAGCGUGGGGAGCGAACAGG